AGAGUUUGAUCAUGGCUCAGAUUGAACGCUGGCGGCAGGCCUAACACAUGCAAGUCGAACGGUAACAGGAAACAGCUUGCUGUUUCGCUGACGAGUGGCGGACGGGUGAGUAAUGUCUGGGAAACUGCCUGAUGGAGGGGGAUAACUACUGGAAACGGUAGCUAAUACCGCAUAACGUCGCAAGACCAAAGAGGGGGACCUUCGGGCCUCUUGCCAUCAGAUGUGCCCAGAUGGGAUUAGCUAGUAGGUGGGGUAACGGCUCACCUAGGCGACGAUCCCUAGCUGGUCUGAGAGGAUGACCAGCCACACUGGAACUGAGACACGGUCCAGACUCCUACGGGAGGCAGCAGUGGGGAAUAUUGCACAAUGGGCGCAAGCCUGAUGCAGCCAUGCCGCGUGUAUGAAGAAGGCCUUCGGGUUGUAAAGUACUUUCAGCGGGGAGGAAGGGAGUAAAGUUAGUACCUUUGCUCAUUGACGUUACCCGCAGAGGAAGCACCGGCUAACUCCGUGCCAGCAGCCGCGGUAAUACGGAGGGUGCAAGCGUUAAUCGGAAUUACUGGGCGUAAAGCGCACGCAGGCGGUUUGUUAAGUCAGAUGUGAAAUCCCCGGGCUCAACCUGGGAACUGCAUCUGAUACUGGCAAGCUUGAGUCUCGUAGAGGGGGGUAGAAUUCCAGGUGUAGCGGUGAAAUGCGUAGAGAUCUGGAGGAAUACCGGUGGCGAAGGCGGCCCCCUGGACGAAGACUGACGCUCAGGUGCGAAAGCGUGGGGAGCAAACAGGAUUAGAUACCCUGGUAGUCCACGCCGUAAACGAUGUCGACUUGGAGGUUGUGCCCUUGAGGCGUGGCUUCCGGAGCUAACGCGUUAAGUCGACCGCCUGGGGAGUACGGCCGCAAGGUUAAAACUCAAAUGAAUUGACGGGGGCCCGCACAAGCGGUGGAGCAUGUGGUUUAAUUCGAUGCAACGCGAAGAACCUUACCUGGUCUUGACAUCCACGGAAGUUUUCAGAGAUGAGAAUGUGCCUUCGGGAACCGUGAGACAGGUGCUGCAUGGCUGUCGUCAGCUCGUGUUGUGAAAUGUUGGGUUAAGUCCCGCAACGAGCGCAACCCUUAUCCUUUGUUGCCAGCGGUCCGGCCGGGAACUCAAAGGAGACUGCCAGUGAUAAACUGGAGGAAGGUGGGGAUGACGUCAAGUCAUCAUGGCCCUUACGACCAGGGCUACACACGUGCUACAAUGGCGCAUACAAAGAGAAGCGACCUCGCGAGAGCAAGCGGACCUCAUAAAGUGCGUCGUAGUCCGGAUUGGAGUCUGCAACUCGACUCCAUGAAGUCGGAAUCGCUAGUAAUCGUGGAUCAGAAUGCCACGGUGAAUACGUUCCCGGGCCUUGUACACACCGCCCGUCACACCAUGGGAGUGGGUUGCAAAAGAAGUAGGUAGCUUAACCUUCGGGAGGGCGCUUACCACUUUGUGAUUCAUGACUGGGGUGAAGUCGGAACAAGGUAACCGUAGGGGAACCUGCGGUUG
rnacentral:rRNA from 1 species